GCCACUCUGGUCGUCACGAUGGGUUUCAAAUCCAUGGGAUUUGUUCUGAUUCCUCCCGUGGGUUC
rnacentral:tRNA from 14 species